rnacentral:misc_RNA from 1 species
GAAAUGCGAUAAGUAAUGUGAAUUGCAGAAUUCAGUGAAUCAUCGAAUCUUUGAACGCAUAUUGCGCCCCUUGGUAUUCCGGGGGGCACACCUGUUCGAGCGCCAUUUCGACCCUCAAGCAUAGCUUGGUGUUGGGUAAGGUCCUAGGGGGGACCAGCCCGUAACUCGUAGGCGGCUACCGCCCGCGCCCUCAGCGUAGCAGGCUCACGCACUCGCUCGGGGACGGUUCGCGUAGCGUGCCCACUAAAAAUUUCAAAAGGUUUGGCCUCGGAUCAGGUGGGGAUACCCGCUGAACUUAA